GAUGAACGCUAGCUACAGGCUUAACACAUGCAAGUCGAGGGGCAGAGCAGUGUAGCAAUACAUGGGCGGCGACCGGCGCACGGGUGCGUAACGCGUAUCCAACCUUCCCGUUACUCAGGGAUAGCCUUCCGAAAGGGAGAUUAAUACCUGAUGGUGUUCAAAUUCCGCAUGAUAUUUGAACUAAAGAUUUAUCGGUAACGGAUGGGGAUGCGUGACAUUAGGUAGAUGGCGGGGUAACGGGCCACCAUGCCUACGAUGUCUAGGGGUUCUGAGAGGAAGGUCCCCCACACUGGAACUGAGACACGGUCCAGACUCCUACGGGAGGCAGCAGUGAGGAAUAUUGGUCAAUGGCCGGAAGGUUGAACCAGCCAAGUAGCGUGAAGGAUUAAGGUUCUAUGGAUUGUAAACUUCUUUUAUACGGGAAUAAAACCUCCCACGUGUGGGAGCUUGUAUGUACCGUAUGAAUAAGCAUCGGCUAACUCCGUGCCAGCAGCCGCAGUAACAC
rnacentral:rRNA from 1 species